rnacentral:rRNA from 1 species
GUGAGCGCUGGCGGUAGGCCUAACACAUGCAAGUCGAACGGCAGCACAGUAAGAGCUUGCUCUUACGGGUGGCGAGUGGCGGACGGGUGAGGAAUACAUCGGAAUCUACCUUUUCGUGGGGGAUAACGUAGGGAAACUUACGCUAAUACCGCAUACGACCUACGGGUGAAAGCAGGGGAUCUUCGGACCUUGCGCGAUUGAAUGAGCCGAUGUCGGAUUAGCUAGUUGGCGGGGUAAAGGCCCACCAAGGCGACGAUCCGUAGCUGGUCUGAGAGGAUGAUCAGCCACACUGGAACUGAGACACGGUCCAGACUCCUACGGGAGGCAGCAGUGGGGAAUAUUGGACAAUGGGCGCAAGCCUGAUCCAGCCAUACCGCGUGGGUGAAGAAGGCCUUCGGGUUGUAAAGCCCUUUUGUUGGGAAAGAAAAGCAGCAGGUUAAUACCCCGCUGUUCUGACGGUACCCAAAGAAUAAGCACCGGCUAACUUCGUG